rnacentral:lncRNA from 1 species
CCUGUCGGUACUUGAAGAAGCGGAGCCAGGGCUGAGAUCCCGAAGGCGGGCGAGGCCGCAGUUCGGGGGCCACGCCCCGGCGUGCUCGGGUCACCGCGGGAAGCCCUUGAACCCCCUGGCGCCCGGCACCCACGUGCGGUAACCGCGGCUCCUCGAGAGCUCCAGGGAUGCGGAUCUACAGUAAGGGCUGUGGCCAGAUGAAUGAAUGCACAUUUUUUAGUGGGCAGAAAGAUGUUAGAAUUCAUGAAUUAGAAUAAGCACAAAGGAGGGCGAGAGGGGAGGCCGUGGAAGCCGCAUUCCUCCCCUUGCCUUGGGCGCCCACCCCCGAAGGGGCGCGUCCCCUCCCUGCUCCACUGCACGUGGGUGUUUAACCAGGGGAUAUCCAGUGCCUCAAGCACCACGACCCGGGAGAAAACUGAGUUGAGAAGGUCUUCUAACAAGCCUUUUGCACACCUGCCAUGUAUUUUGUCAGGCCUUGGGGAUGAAGGUGAGAAAUUCGAGAAUCCCCGGAGAUAACACAUCAGCAAAUAGUGCGCAGGCAGAACAAGCUGUUGGAGGUGAGAGACACAGAGCAGAGAAGCACCCGCACCUGGAGAGUCAGGAGGGCCUCACAUCAGAACGCCUGAGCAAAUACAGUUUUGAAGGAUACUAAUUUUUUAAAAAGUUCAUUCACAUGAGUUAGACAAAGAGAAAGAAGCAGGACAUUCUAGGAAGAAGGAACGGCCCAGGCAAAAGCGACGCGUACAUUGGCGUGGGUCCAUUCAAGAAUUGUGCCCACAAUAUACCAGGCACUUGUCCAGACCUGCAUCGUCCAAUGCCCACCUCGACCUCCCAAAGUGUUGGGAUUAGAGGCGUGAGCCACCGCGCCCUGCCUGCAUGUGGCUAUUGAGAUGUGCUGUAUG